GUAUACAAACAGCCUGCGACCGAAACAGCUGGAAACGAACGACAGGUAAAAUCAAAAGGAAAUACAUAGAAGUAAAUAAAGCUACUCCAUACCCACCACCACUUGCUUCCAGCUGACUCUCAAAUUUCAUCUGUUUUCUAUACGCACAGGGUGCGUGCCAACACUUCUAGAAAGGUGGAGUGCGAUCUGGAGUUACUGGAAGUGGAUGGCAGAUGAAUCAACUCAAUACUAGCGAGUGUAGACUUUGUGAUUAUUCUAGAAAUUUGGGGCACACUUUGGAGUAAUUGUACAGGUGAUGGGUAUUUUGGCACAGAAAACAUACAUAUGAACAUACAUACCUAAUUACGAUAAUGGAGAAAAUAAGUAAAUUCACGACGGCGGGAAUUGAUUUCGAAGUAUUGAAUAGCACAACUACGAAACGAAGUCGCCGAACCGGAAAAUGAAAAAGGCGGAAGUGAAAUA